GCCCUCGUAGCCCAACUGGUCAGAGGCAGGCGACUUAAAAUCGUCCAAGUCAGGGUUCGAAUCCCUGCGGGGGCA
rnacentral:tRNA from 5 species